rnacentral:lncRNA from 1 species
UUCGAUGAUUACCAAUCACAAAGCCACCACAUAAAGCAGGAGGCUCGUUCCAUCAUUUUACUGAUUGAACAUGGUGGAUGAAUAACAAAUGACCAGACGUCACUUCUCAGACUAAUGAUGGAACAAACCUCAGUGCUAUUUCAAACUGCUGAAGCUACUGCCAAAAAGCUGAAUCCAGAUAUAAUAUAAACGCAACUAUAGUGCUAUGAGUUUUUCCCUCUAGGUUUUGGUGACUGCCGAGGCUGCUGGUUAUAUGGAGAUGCACGCACAUCACUUAAGCUCCUCAGUGGUUGUCCGUUCCUUGUUAUAAAUCUAAGGUAUACCAUGAGGGACUUUCACCAGGUGCUGGUCCAAAUACUAUAAUUAACUUGGCGAGUGAUGAAGAGAAAGAGGAAAGGGAAGAUUUUGUCAAACUAUCCACUUAGAACCUGUUUGGUGUCCACGUUUCCUACAGUUCAAUUGUUUUAUGAUGUUUGGUUAACAACUACCCACGUUUUCAAACUCUAUGGGGCUCAUACAAAUUGCGUUCCUAACAUAGGAUAAGCGAAAGUAACUCGUUGUUGCUUUUGUCAUGGCUGCUGUUCAGAAAACACUGCAACCUUUACCAAAAAAUUAAUUAGCCCUAUCUGUCCUCAACAUCACGGUCGUCUCCCCUCCUCCACGAGUGGUUUUUUUUUGCUGCAAUAUUCGCCUCCCUGAGCUCUCCUCCUCCACAGAUCCCCUCUUCUUAAAAAAUCAGUGCUCCUCCUCUCGCUUAACACACACUGUCACAUUAUUUUCGUCCAUUCUCUCACAAAGACCGUCACCAGUGUUAGCUGAGUGUAGAUCAAGCCCAUCUGCCACCGAUCUACUGCCAUGAUGAACUCCUUUCGCGGUUGAAGAAGACAUGCACUGACCCAGGUAAUUUUCUUCACACUUGACCUAAGAAAAAUGUUUAGAUCAUGCCUUAUCAGCUAAAACAAACUGUUUCUCUAACCAAAAUGUUCUCUUGCUGUGUGUUUUCUUUGCCAGAACCAAAGAGAGUAUCGAAAUCAGCCUCCUGGAAAGCUCAAGCACAAGCACCUUAUCAAUCUCUGUCUCGGUUGCACAAGAAAAUUCAAGGUCAGUUGCUCUGUUUCGGUUCCACAAUUACUUUAUAUGUCUGAUUCUCUUUUUACAUGUGCCUUUGGCUCUGCGUGGUGUGAAACCAUCAAAAUUUGAACAUUUCGUUACACUGUUAUGCAUAGCUAGGCACAAAUACAUAUGCUUUCGUGUUAAAGACUUUGGUUUUGAUGUGUUUUUUUUAUUUAAAAUCGGAGCUAGCUGGUCAUUACCUUCAUUAUCUCUACUAAAUUCGGUUUAGCAUUAAUAGAAUGAUUCUUUAUUUUUGUUUUAAAUUAGUAAAUUCAAUCAAGAAAAGGUUAAUCAUUGUUGUCAAUGGAAUGUUUGAAAAGAGUGAAGUAUUACUUUAUGAUAGCUAGAAUUGCAGCAAAAAAUUUUUGAUCAACUAGAACAGGAUAAAAAUUAUAGGAUUUUGUCAAGCAUAAAGGAUGUGAUUGCGGAGUGUGGAUUGUGAAAAGGGGAUGGUCUUUGUUUUCUCAGGAAAGAAGAGAGCAUAGGAUUUUGUAAUACGUGGAUAUUGGUGUUGUGGAAUUUAAUAGUUUCUUUUUCACCGGUUUAUUAGUUUAUAGUGGCAAUUUAAAGUUUCCAGGAUAGGAUUUUUGUGGUUGCAAUCGUAUAACAUGAAGGGAAGUUUCAAAGUUUUAAGAGGGGAUGACAAAAGUUCUGGUUUAUAAUGUAUAUAUGAAGGGAGAAGAUUGUGUGGGGAUUUUGUUGUUGCAAGGAAAGGGAGAGGGUGCAUUAAAUCUGUUGGUUUUUUCUUGUGUUUGUACUUUCUAUGCUUGUAAAUAGUCUUCAUUCACAGGUCAAAGGAGUGACAUAUAAGCUUUCUUUUGUAGAAUAUAAACUGAAGGUUUUCUUUGUCUAAACUUCUGCCAACUGUAAUGCUAUAUACAUCACAUAUUAACUAUUAUCAUUAUCUUCAUUAGCAUUCAAAUUGAAGAAAUAUUAGUAAUACUAGCCAAUGUUAUACAUCACAUAUUAACUAUUAUCAUUAUCUUCAUUAGCAUUCAAAUUGAAGAAAUAUUAGUAAUACUAGCCAAUGCAAACAUUGGCUUGUUGAAACAUUAAUGGAAAUAAGCCUAGCAAUUACAGUGUUAAGCUGAUUAUGUUAAGUCUAUGUUCUUAAUUUGCAUUUUGUAUUUGAGGUUGCGAUUUAUUAAUUAAGAUAGAUUGUGCAUUACAUGUCCUUUACAUCGUCUCUAGGAAAUUAACUUGUUAAUUGUAUAUUAGACAAAAUAUUUUAACUGAGAACAUGGACGAUUCUCAAUCACAAGAUAAGACUUGUUGGACUAGAGAGAUGUUGCAUGUUUUUUGUGACAUAUGUAUUAAAGCAAUUGAGCAAGGUAUGCGACCCAACAUACAUUUUGACAAAGCUGGGUGGAAAUAUGUUAUGAAUUGCUUUAAGGAUCAAACUGGUCAUGCAUUAAUGAAAGCACAAUUAAAGAAUAAGUGGGAUGGAAUUAAAAAAGAUUAGAGAAUAUGGAAAAUGUUGAUUUCCAAAACAAGAGUAGGAUGGAGUGCCGAACUUGGAACAAUUGUGGCUCCUGAUGAAUGGUGGAAAGCUAAAAACCAAGUCCGUUUUUUUCAGUAUGUUUACAGCUGUAAUAAACUGUUUCCUUGCGUGUUUUUACAUCAAAUUUUAUGCAUUUUUAUCUUCAUUGUCCCUUAUUGUAGGAUAUACGCUGGGCAAGAAAGUUUAGGCAUGCUGGCAUCGAUCCAACAUUGUGUUGUAAAUAUGAUAUGAUGUUUACAAACACUGUUGCUACCGAUCAGUAUGCUUGGGCUCCAUCACAGGGUCUGAAUUCUGAUGAAGAUGGUGUCGGUCAAAGGCAAACUAACGCAGUUCAUGAGGACCCUCAUCUUGAGGAAGGUAGUGGAGAUUCUGAGGAGGAUGGUCUUUCAAAUUUUGUUGCUGAUGUUAAUAAUAUGGUGGUUGGUGUCAAUUUUGCCAAUAGCACAAGCAAUCCCACUAGUAGUAGUGGGAAGAGAAAAGGUAUGCAACAAAGUUCCCAAUAAAAUGAGAAAAAAAAAGGGGUGCCGAAAAGGGAUCACAAUUGUUUUUGCGAUUAGAUAAGUUAGUGGAUAAUGUGUCUACCAAGAGUGAAUGCACAUCAAGUGUUUUGGAUAAAAAAGGUUGUAUCAUAGAAGAGGUGAUGAAAGAGUUUCACUCCAUUGAUGAAGUGGUGUUCGAAAGUGAGUUGUAUUGUUUUGCAACUGAGUUUUUUAUGGUUAGAAAUAGGAGGGAAAUGUGGGCAGCAAUUGGUGAUAUGGACCGAAAAUUUCAAUGGCUGAAAUUAAUGUUCUAGCGAAGGGCAAACUACCGACCUUGAAGUAAGUUUACAUUUGAUAUAUGGAAAACUUACAGUUAUGUAUGUUAUUGUGUGUUGUCUGUUGCAGCAAUUAAAUUUUGUUUUGUUUUAUAUGUUUUGGUAAUUAUUGCAUUCAUUUCAUAUUUGAAGUGUUUUUCAAUGUUUAAAACACUUAUCAUGUUUGGUUUGUAUACCAAUGAGUCGUUAACAUAUUGUAUGUUUAUGUAUUUUUUCGCAGUUAACAGUCCACAAAAAGGUAAGGUUCAUGAGGUGUUGCUGCAGUUGUAGAAUUGUGAAAUGGUUGAUGCAAACGAUUAUGCCUUUGCUGUUUUUCCCAGGUUUCUUAACUUGUAACGUAGAAAAUGUUGAGCACUUCCUUUGUAUUUGUAGUUGUAGUGUAAUUGAUUAUGUUUGAGAUGUUUUUAACAGCUAUUGUUGUACCUUUUACAAGUUGUUAUUGUAGGUUUCAUGUUGACUUCUUUAGAUUAGUUUGAAUGGCUGGAAAACUUUGUGUUCAGUUUGCUUUUUCAGCCUUGAAUUUCAUAUUGUAACUUAACGGAUUGCAUUGUUUUUUAUGAGUUGAAUGGCUGUUGAUUGGUUGAAUGUAUAUUGAGUUGAAAUGUAGUUAAUGCUGUGAAGUAUUGUUCCUUACUUGAAUGUUUGAUAGUGGGUUGAAUGAGAGUUGCUGGGUUGAAUGGUUGGUAAUGGUACAAAUACAGGCUUGCUGAUGGGUAUGGCAGUAAAUAUAUAUUGGUUUGUGUUGUGCGUGUGUUUCUAUUUAAAAUGCAUUAUCAGUCCAAAGCAUUUUCAUUGGCUGGACACAAAUUUUGCAAGCAUUCCCACAUGUAUUGAGGGCUGUUUCAGGCGAUUUUAUGUCUGUUUUUACACUGCAACGUCAAGUUCAUUGACUUUAGAAGGUUAGUUGUUGAUUUUAGGGAAGCUUUUUAGUUAAUAAAGCUUUAUCUUUAUGUUUUGUUACCAAAUUUAGGUGGUAAAUGAUUUUAUGGCUGUUGUUAUUGUCAAUAAAACAAGUGCAUUUAUGUUUUUUGCGAAAUGGCUACUGUUAUUGUCUAUACCCGUAUUGCUUUAGGAAAGGUAUCAACUUAAAAUCACUUGUAUACCCUGCUAAGCAUCACUGGAUGCUUUACUUUUGGUGUGGUAUGUUUCCAUCUUAAUUCUUGUGAGGUGUGUGGUUUGGUGAAGCUUGUCUACUAGUCUGUUGUGCAGGAUAGGAAUUGUAUCCACUUCAGAUGCAUAUUAAUUAACACAUUAUAUUUUCAAUCCUAUUUUGUUUAAUUUUUAUUAGGGAUUGCUGCAAGUUAGAUGUUACAAAUAAUGUUGAUGUCGCCAUUAAUCUUAAAAAUAUUGUAAACAAAUUACGUAAAAAAAUUGUCAUGUUACCGUUACGUUGCAUGUUGAAAAUUACAAUUAUUGUUGUGUUAAAAAAUAUUGGAUGAGUUAUGUAUAAUUUAAAGAUGUUCGAUAUGUAGCGCUUGAUUGAACAUAAAUGUUUUGUGUUAAGACCGCCAUUAACGAUACAAAAAUUCAAAACAAAUUAUUCAAUGAACAUGUAUUUUGUACCGGUACGCUGUAGGUUGAAAAUGGAUAUUAAUUUUUGUUUGUAGAUAUGGAUGCAAAUUGGUUUAAUGCGCUUUUUAAUGACCAUUAUGAAAAUGUUAUGAAUAAUGUUGGUCGGUAUGUGUCUGAUGGGUUUGCUGGUACAAGUUUUGUAAGUGGUUUUGGAGGUAGUUUUGGUAAUGGUUAUGGGAACUACAAUAGUGAGGUUCAGGACGACGACCUAAAUCAACAGGAUGACGAUGACGAUGGCGAUUUAUUUUGGCAUAGAGAGUGUGAUCGCACUAAAUUAGUCAUCUGCAUUGCUGGAGCACUGGCUUUGUAUUACAAUAUGUAUAUUUAUAAAGAGCCAUGUAUGGAUUCAUACAACAUUGGCAUGCGAUGGUUGAUUGAAAUUUUAAAUGGGCAUUGGACCCGUUGUGUGAACAUGUUUCGGAUGGAUGCUGACACAUUGAAGAGUUUGGCUUUUGAGUUGGAAACGAUAUACGGGUUGAAACCGUCUAGACGGAUGAGUGUUAUUGGGAAAUUAGGAAUGUUUCUCUACACUUUAGCUCUCGGUGCGUCGAAUAAGGAAGUACAGGAGCGUUUUCAGCAUUCAGGUGAAACCGUUUCCAAAAAUUUCAACGAGGUUCUUCGUUCUGUGUGCUUGUUAGCAGUUGAUUUAAUAAGACCAGUAGAUCCAGAAUUCACAACAACACCAUUGAAAAUUGAAAUGAAUCCGAGAUACAUGCCCUAUUUCAGGGUAAGCAAUACUAUUUACAAGUAGUUAAAUAUUUCAAAAGGUUAUAAUCAAAUAUUUACGUGCAAUUAAAUUGAUUCGGCAACAAAUUUUUUGUUUUUGUAGAAUUGCAUUGGAGCGGAUGAUGGAACACAUGCACGUGCAUGUGUUUCACAAGAAAAUCAAAUACCAUUUAUUGGUAGAAAAGGUAUAUCGACGCAAAAUAUAAUUGCAGCAUGUAGCUUUGACAUGCAAUUUACAUUUGUUUGGGCUGGGUGGGAAGGUAGUGCUCAUGAUACAAGAAUAUUUUAUGAGGCGAUUGGAAAUACAAACAUACACUUUCCGUGGCCACCGGAAGGUAGAUUUUCUUUAAAAAAAUAUGUUUGUUGUUCAGCUGGUCUAAUUUGUUUUCUAUGAAGUUUUGUGUAAGCGUUAAACAAUUCUGACAUUUGUGCAGGGAAGUAUUAUCUUGUUGAUUCGGGAUAUCCGAAUGAGUACAGUUAUUUAGGUCCAUUUAGAGGGGAAAUAUUUCAUCUUCCAGAAUUUCAUCGACGAGGACAACCCCAGAGUUGGGAGGAAGUAUUUAACCGAGUCCAUUCAUCAUUACGAUGUGUAAUCGAACGUACAUUUGGAGUUUGGAAGAAGAAAUGGCGAAUCUUGCAAACCAUGCAUGAGUUUCCUUACAAAUCACAUGUUAAAAUUGUUGUCGCAUCAAUGGUGCUGCACAAUUAUAUUCGACGGAAGUUGGGCCAAGAUGUUGCAUUCAACAAGUUUGGUAGCCACCCUGAUUUUGUUCCUCCAGAUACUUUUCCCGAUGUCGUUCCACAAUCACAAACAAGUGCACACUAGAGGGCGUCGUGUAUGGAUUAUAUUCGUGAUAGCAUUGCAAAUAGUUUGAUGGGGCAAUAAUGUUUAAUUGUAAUAACAAAGCAUGCUUUUAUUAUUUUGCCAGUAUUUAUAUGGAAAAAACAUUUUAUUUCCUCUUAACACAAAGAAUUAUUUUAUUUAUGUCUUUUUUAGUCAUUUUGGGUACAAAAGCAACCACAACCACAAUUUAAACAAACAUGCUUUUAACCACAAUAAAGUCAAACCACACUUUUAACCAAACACUCAAAAUAUAUACACAAACCACAGAAAAAGUGCUUUUUGAAAAAAAUCACUUUUUUCCAACCGCUACCACAAUAAUUGCAGCAAAAACAAAUACACUCCUAGAGUGGCCUAACCAUCUCAUGCAUUUAUUUCAUAUGCUUUUAUAUCCAUUUGAACUUAUGAAUUUCUAUUUGGUUAUGUAAUAUUGUGGAUCUCUUUCCUCCCUUUUUGAUGUGCCAAAGGGGGAGCAAAAUGGAUUGUGAUGCAUGCAUAUUAUUUUUUAAAGUUCAUUUAUUAUAUGCAAGAAUUUAAUUAUGGAAGUUGGCUUAUUAUAUGCAUGAAUUUAAUUAUGGUAUUUUUUGUUUUAUUGAUAGCAUGUAAUUGAGAUUUUAUGGUAGCAUUUUUUAUUUGUUUGCAUACCUUAAACAUUGAUAGGGGGAGCUUCAAAUAUUUGAGAUACAUCUUGUUUGGGAUUGGAGUAUAUUAUUGGAUAAUAUAUCAUCUUUAUUUUCUUAUUGCACAAUUUGUUUGUCAUCAUAAAAUACAAAAGAGAGAUUGUUAGCCUAAAGUUCUUUUAACACCUAUGGAUUAAUAAUUUCGAUGACAACAAAACAUUAGUGAAUUUAAUAUGCAUGUCAUAAGCUUGAAUGUUGUAGAAAUUUUUCUAUGUGAAAUGGAAGCAAUAUGGACUCAUUGGACGUGUAUCUACCCAAUUUUUUUAUCCAUGUUUUGAUAAAUUUUCAAAAAAAAUACAAAAAUAGAGAAAAACAACAAAAAUCCAAAAAAUAUAUUUUUUUAAUAUAUUUUCGUCAAUUGUAGCAUUGUCUCAAAAGAAUUUAAAUUUCCAAAGAUCCUGGGAACACAUUCGACUUUGAACGUGUUAUUUUUAAAAAAUCGUCGAUUUUCCUCAUUCGAGGCAAUGUUGAUAAGAAAAAAUCAAAAUUUACAAAAAAAGAAGUUGAGGGACCAAGUUUGGAAACCUAACAAUAUUUUUGCCUUUAAAUACUGGUCUUCAACACACACAAAAGUAGGAGGGGGGAAAUUUGGAAACAAACAAAGAGAGACAAAAUAAACCCUUAAAAACCUAUCUCUACCCACACCAACCGCCCCACCCAUUCAGUUGACCGCUCUCUUUUCUCCAGCCAAAGCCCCCGCCCCCCUUCUUUCUCUAGUCUCCCUUCCCAGACCCAUACAGACCUGGCCACAACUCCCACCCUUCCUCUGAUCUACCUCCCACUGAAGACCAACCCCAAAACAACUGUUAAUUCAGCCUUACAGAGAGGCAUCCCCAUCUCCUUCCCACAUUACCUCUCGUCUUCAACUUUCAGCACCGAAGCCUUCCCCUCAGUAGUGUCUUCUUCUCCUUAAUACCAUCAACGUCGGCCUCCACCAAGCACCACAAUAGCAGCUGAUCUCCUCCCUCACAGCCCCAACAUCAUUUUGCUUUCCAUCCCAGUCAUUUCCUUCUCUCACCCAAACAACCCACAGUCUUCACCAUCAGCCGUAUCAGCGUCUCCUCCAUCCAGCACCGGCCAGACUCAACAGAAGCCUAGUUUCCGGAGAUCCCUUGGUCUUGCCGCCACCUGAAACAGAGAUGAUUGGGAAAGCAAAAGAAAAGGACAGAUCUGCAGAGAGGUAAGCAGACCCAAAACAGAGAAGAAGAGAAAGAAAAAGCAAGAUUGAAAACAAAGGAAAAAAAUUAAAACCAACUGCCUGCGGUGUUUUCGGUUGUUUUGCAGGUCAUCGCCAGUGUAGGGAGAUAGAGAAGAGGAAGACGUUCCCGAUCCACCGGUUUUAUUGCCAGUGGCGGCGGCACGUGGAGCAACAUGUCGCCAUUGUUCCAGCACUGUUUUCCUAGGGGGUCUAUUUUGUAAUUUUUAAAUUGUUUAAUGUAAUUUUUGUUUAGUUGUUGAAUUUUUAUAAUUUGUAGUGUGUAUGUAUGUAAAAAAUAGGAAAACAAAAAAAUGAAAAAAUAUAGUAAAAGUGAAGGUGUGUGUUGGUAUUCGUUUUAUGGAUGUUUUAUUUAUUCAUUUUAUUUUAUUUUAUGAUAAAAUCGAAAAGGCAAAAGAAGAAUUUAAUAUUUUGAUUUGCUCAUGAUAAAGCAUUACGAACUUAUAUGUAAGUCGUAUUUCUAAUAUUCGAUGAAAAGAUAAAAAUUUUAAAACUUCUUUAACACAUCAAAGCCACGAAGCAGCUUACCUCAGGUAAGGUGCGUUAGGGGUGCUAAUACCUUCCCUAACCACAACCAGUCCCUUACCCAUGAAUCUCUGACAAGACCACCACACCCAGGUUUCCUAGUAUCCCUCAAUUAAAAACUAGGUGGUGAAUCCCAAGAACCAAUCAAGCAAACAAAACAUAAUGAAAAAUCACCAGUCGACGCCGCGCGGCUGACAUGCGACAGAAUGGCGACUCCGCUGGGGAAGGUACUGUUUCUGACAAAAUUGGACUAAGCUUUGUAUAUUUGAUGUGUUUAUGUUUUUUCUUUUUUGUCUAUUUUUUGUAAUGUAUUUUUCAUGCAUUUUGUAGAAUUGUUUCAUGCAUCACAUGUCUUUAUUUUUGAAAGCACACACAAGCUUUUAGAUUAGUGGGGAUUUAGCGAUCUACCCUAUAACUAUUGGCCAGGGUUCAGAUGCGUGAAACACCCAACUCAUAUCUGAGUGCCUACUUGGUAAUGGUGGGUGUACGUACCUUAACCAUUUCUUGCAACACCCCUAUACUGUCUUUAUGAAGAUCGUCACUGAGCAGAUAUAAGACCCUUUUGAGACCAGAUAGAAAACCUACCCAUGUUCAUAUAAUGAAUAGAACUUGUCCUUAGGUUGUAUGUGCUAUUGUUUUUUUUUUCAUCAGGGCAAACCCUUCUUGAAGCAUCUUGAACUCAAGACUUGUAGGUGACAUAAUGGUCGUCACUCAGAAAAUUUUCAUUGUAGAGCUUAGGCAAGAAUCACGAGUCUUGUUUCAUCAUACAAGAGUUACAACCAUAUGUCACCCCUCGAAGGGCGAGUUUAUCAUAUAGAUUACAUGCUCAUACAUUUAUCAUGCAUGCACCGGGAUGAAAAGUAGGUUCCCUCACCCGAGAUCUACUAUACUGGACUGAGAAAAGUUGGAAAAUAAAGAAUGGAUCCGAUAAGGCUCUUUGUCAAAAGGAAAUUGAGAGCAUCAAAUGUGAAGUAACUAGACUCUUUGAUCUGUUUGAACAAGUGUUGAACUUCAAGAGUGAAAAUUGAAUGUCUGCACAGCCUCCUAUAGAAGCACUAUCAAUCCAUGUCCCACACAAGGAAAAUAUAAUUGACUUUUCUCCUCAGCACUCCAUCAGUAGAUGCCAUAAACACUGAAGUGGCACCACAUCUCCUUCAUUUCAGUCAUAAACAGCAGCAACGCCUUCAAUAAUCAAUGAAAGAUAAUCUCUUUUUUGGUUUAACUGCACUGUUAAUUGUUCACCGACUCCACAUUUUUCAAUGGCAUCCAAUAGCUGUCAGCUUUUCACGCCAUGAGCAGAGGCCUUCUUUCUAGCCAUAUCUGCUGUGAACUCCAUUCCAGUCCAGCAACACAGGAUGUUGGUAUGAAAAACAUGACUUUACAUUGAACUUCAACGUAGCAGACCUCUAUUUGUGGAUCUGCCAGUAAGGAAUCCAAGAAGGAAUGAAGUAGUUUAAGAUCAUUUUCUCCUACCAGUGUCAGAAUUAAAAUGCAGAAGUAGCGAGAAGAGACAUGACUAAACUGAAAAAUAUGAAGAAGACUGAAACUUUAAUAAAGCAGAACUCCCUUUUUUGGUGCUUGUUUGUUACACCACCAGUGAGGAAUUAAAGAAGAGACAUAAGAGUUUUAGAUUCAUUAGUUUCUCUUAUAAUAGAGACAAUACAUGAUUCCACAUGUUGGCAGCGGUGGUGUUGCGUGCUACCAAGAUUACCUAGCUGUUGGGAGGUUUCAACAAUCCUCAAACAACCAUAACAACAUUGCGAGAUUGACAUAAUGCGGCCGUGAGGAUUGCCGAAGGAAUUAAGCAAGCUAUGAAGAUGGAAAAUAUUGAAGGUUAUAUCAUGGGUGCUAGAACAAUGAUGAGAGUUGAGUCAGAAGAUGUUCCUGAAAGGGGUAUAAUCCAGACAAGAGAUAUGAAUAUCAUGGUGGGGUCUUGGACCAUUCAUUUGAGUAGUUGCAAAAUUUUUAAGAAUCGAGAUCGGAUGAUAGUGAGCAAGAAGCAAGUUGAGUUUGUGAAAGAUGAUGUCAUCAACCGUAUUGUCACCAGAACAUCCUCAGAUUGACAAAAGAUCGAAAGCUUGGCCAAACACAAAUAUUGCCAGAAAAGCUGAUCCAAGAAUGGCGCUGAAUUGUCAAUCAUUUUGUUAUGGAUUUUUGCCCUUCUGCAUUUUGUUUUGGGAUCACACCUCAACCUUGAACGAAACAUGUCUUUUCUUUGUCUUCCUGUUGUUUUGAAAUCAAGAGAUGUUUUUUUUUCAAAGGGUAUUUUGACAAAAUAUUUUGAUCAAACUCCAACAUGAAAAAAUAAGGCUAGUCAAUCCUAAAUGGUUAAAAGUGUUUUGAUUGCAAAAGACUCGAUAUUUGUUAAAAUGAUAAGAUAAACAAUAGGAGGUGACCAUACAAAUUUUGAAUUCACAGUUGAAAUUAAACUAAUACCAUGUAGCUAAAUUUUAGCAGUAUGCAUAAUGACAUGUAGUGGAUUCAGUAGUUAUGGACUCGUGAAUCAUGAUUCUUACAAGUCCAAAUCAUCACACUAGAUGAGAUCAAAAUUUAUCGGUUCUAACUGACCUUGCUUGAAAUGAGAAAAGGCCAUUUUUGUUCAUCCCUUCACUUUCUAAAGAUAUAUAUCCCUUACAAUCCCUAUUUGAGCCUGAUAUAAUAUUUCUUUUUUAAAAGAAACCCUGACUAGGAUCACACCCCACACUAAGGCAAAUAAGAGAUUUUUUGUUAGUAAAGAUGAAGACAAUGUUAGAAUCAAUGGAUAAGGGGAAGUUUAAGAAGAAAAAUCCAACAAUUAAGAAAAGACUAAAAGAAAAAAAAAACAUAGACUAGGGGCAUGUAAGAAAACUUUGAGGAAGGCUACGAGAAAGCAAAAUAAAAUAAAAUAAAAUAAAAAAAUAUAUAUAUAGUAAAAAUUGUAAACACUUAAAGGCAAGUCAAAGAUUAAGAAAGAAGAACACCUAUCUAGCCUAGGAAGGGCAAACGAAGUUUCAAUCAAAGAAAGAGACAACGAAUACCAAAAGUCAAUACCAGAAAAAAAAAAUACUAAGUUGCAAACGGUGUCUUUUGGUAUCAAUGAUAAAGUCAAUACUAGAAAAAAAAAUACUAAGUUGCAAACGGUGUCUUUUGGUAUCAAUGAUAAAGUCUCUAAUGAUUAGAUUGAUUAUUCAUCAAAGAAAAAGUUGAAUUUGCUUUAUGACUCAUCUUAAGAGAAUUCUGACCUUUGAGGUUAACAAGGUUAUAUGUCACUUUCUCUACAAAGACAACAAGAGAAGAAAAGUUGAUGAAUAGUUGAUGUUGAUCCUAGGUCCUUAAAACCCUCAAACACCUUUUGAGCCUGUGAAUUUCCUUUCUUUCUAACCAUGAACCAUAACCUGCAUUACGUACUUUUAAAAGUCAUUUUCGAUCGAGUAAGCAAUCUGAACCGAUAAAUGGUGCUCUCAAAACUAGAAGAGCUUUUCUAUAGGGGUCGUGACUUCAUGAAUUAAGCUAUUGAUUAUUAUGCAUGUUGAUAAAAUUGGUGCUAAGAAAAAGAAAACAAUCUUUCUUGAUAAGUCCUCAAGUUUUGACUUGAGCCUUUUGUUUUCUUUGAAAUUUACAGAAGGUCACCUUAUUCAUAGACCAUCAAAUGAUAUACCCAAGAUCAAUGAUUGAAACUGAUACAAAGAACCAUGGAAAAAGCCAUUUUAAUCUUACAACGGGUCAAUUUUUGUUUUCGAAAUACAAGACAAUUAAAGGAAUAUAUUGAAUGACGUGUGUUGGGUUUUUGACCAGAAAGCAUGAUUUUCGAAAGAUCUUUUCCAAAACUAAUAUCUCUCUAAUUUCAUUUCAACAAUUAGACUUGAAUAGACAUGAAAUUUAAAAUAUGAUAUUUGAUUCCAGAACAAAGAAGAACAUCGAUUGAGUCUGUGAAAUACUCGAUAAAAAUGACAUCAACUCUUCUCAACACUCCUUGAAAAGUUGAGCCACCUGGGGGCAAUACAAUAAACCCUAAAAAGAAAAAACAAGUAGUAUUCAGAUCAGUCGGGGGGAAAUGAAAGAUGAUUAAAUGAUGAAUCAAUAAACUGAUGAUAAUGGUGUUCAAAGAAAGAUAAUUAGAUGAACGAGCACAUUCAGAUCACAUCAGGGGCAAUAUUGUUCAAAAACAUUCCAUGAUCUAGUGAACUCCAGCAGCAAUUGAAAACAACACUACGCUUGAGGGACAACUUCGUAUCUUCAUCUUGGGGUUACCCUUUGAAAUAUGGCUAUGAAAGAUGUUAUCGCAUAGUUGCAUUUGAAUGAAUAUCAGAAAGAUGCACACCACCAAAACUAACUGUGGGACCAUCUGUUUUGAAGCUUAAAGGCGCACUUCAUCGCAUGAAUAUUGGUGAACAUCAUUGAUGUUGCUAAUGCAUUUCUUUUCACAAUCAGAUUCGACAAGAUGAGAUAAUUCCAUGGAGAAGAACAUUGAGCUUACAACGAUGGGCCUUGUACUGCAAGCUAUGAGAUGCAUGUCUGGACGACAAGAUAGUUUCCAAGAAGACUAAUGAUAAUAUAUACUUGAAGAGUAUUGUUUCAGCUUGAGGCAAGUUUAUGACUGAUUGACAAUCUUGAUGAGUGUUGGCACUAUGCGCACAAUCAAUAAGAGAACAAUUCUCAAGAUAAUCCAGAAGAUGAAUGAUCGGUUAAGCUCAUUCAUGAUGAAUCAAGCAACACCAUAAUUGGGGGCACACUCAUGCUUCAUAAACAAUAAGAGGAGUAAUCAUCGUGGAUAGCCCAGGAUAGGCACGACACUUACAGCUCAGUGGAUGGCUAGCACAUGAAUAAGACGGUAAAUCAGAAGGACAAAGAAGGCUUUGGAAUACAAACAAAGGCACCUUAUGACGAUGGAGCAUCAAAGAAAGGGGACCUAUAUUCCAAAUUAGGUAAAAAAGCAUGCAUGUCAUCUAGCCUCAAAACAUUGCAUAAUUGUUUUUGAAUUGUUACAGGAAAAAUCCUCAAUGAGGUCCAGCAAGAUUGUGGAAAAAGAAAGAAGCAUUGUGUUGAUGAUAACAAAGAAUCAGUUUUGAUCAUGGAAAAAAAGAAGAUGAGAUGAACCCUACCAUUAGAAAAAUCUCAAAGAAAAGAAAAGAUCAACCCUGCAAUCAAGAAGCCCCGAGUUUUCAAAUCCUGCGAUCAAGAAUUAUCAGGAAGCACCAAGUUUUCCAGCCCUUCUCCUGUCAUCCCUUCAUGACUUUGCCAGGUAAGUCCUAUUUUUCACACUUGUCAGACCAUAAUCUUUCAUUUGGGUUGAUCACUUAUAAUAAUGAGACCACUUUAUAUAUUUUUUCAUCUUCCACCUAGGUAGGUCACCCUUUAGGAUGAGACCGUUUUUCAUAUUUUUCUACCUGAGUAGGUCACCCAUUACAAUGAGACCACACUUCACAUUUUUUUUCCAUCUAGGUAAGUCACCCAUUAUAAUGAGACCACACUUCAAAUUUUUUUCAUCUUCCAUUUGGGUAGGUCACCCAUCAUAAUAAGACCGUUUUUCACAUUCUUUCAUCUGGGUAGAUCACCCAUUACAAUGAGACCACUUUUUACACAUUAUUUUUUUUAGUUAAAUGAGGUCACCAGAUGGGAUCUCAGGUAGCUUUGGUGAAAGGGAAUCGCCAGAUGGGAUUUCAGGUUGAUUGAGCUACAUAUGUUUUUGGGUUUGGUUAAACGAGGUCGCCAGAUAGGAUCUUAGGUUAACGGAAAAAAAAUGAGAGAGAAAAAAAACAGAGAGAGAAAGAAAGAAAGAAAAGAAAAAGGAAAAAGUAAAGUCUUUAGAUUAGUGGAUAUUGAGCGCAAGUUAAGAAGACAGGAAGACAAGUUUUCUUUACAAAGCUUACUAUGCAAAACAUUGAGGAGUUUUGCUUCGUAAGCAUUGUAAAGAGGUGGCAGCUGUUGCUACCUAAUUUUUUACCCAUGUUUUGAUAAAUUCUCAAAAAAAUCCAAACAUAGAGAAAAACAACGAAAAUCCAAAAAAUAUGUUUUUUUAAUAUAUUUUCAUCAUUUUUAGCAUUGUCUUAAAAGAAUUUAAAUUUCAGAAGAUCUUAGGAACGCGUUCGACUUUUAACGCGUUAUUUAUAAAAAAUCACCGAUUUUCCUCAUUCGAGGCAAUGUUGAUAAGAAAAAAUCAAAAUUUACAAAAACAAAAGUUGAGGGACCAAGUUUGGAAACCUAACAAUAUUUUUACCAAUAAAUACUAGUCUUCAACACACACAAAAGUGGGAGGGGGGGCAAUUUCGAAACAAAAAAAGAGAGACACAAUAAACCCUAAAAAACCUAUCUUUACCCACACUAGCCACCCCACCCAUUCAGUUGGCCACUCUCUUUUCUCCAACCAAAGCCACUGCCCCCCUUCUUCCUCUGGUCUCCCCUCCUAGACCCAUACAGACCCAGCCACAACCCCGUCCCUUCUCUGAUCUGCCUCCGACCAAAGACCAACCCCAAAACAGCUGUUAAUUCAACGUUACAAAGAGGCGUCCCCUUCUCCUUCCCACAUUACCUCUCAUCUUCAACCUUCAACAUCAAAGCCUUCCCCUCAGCACCGUCUUUUUCUCCUUCAGACCAUCCAUGUCGGCCUCCACCAAGCACCACAACACAGCCGAUCUCCUCCCUCACAGCCGCAACAUCAUUUCCUCUCCAUCCCAACCAUUUCCUUCUCUCACCCAAACAACCCGCAGACACACGGUCUUCACCGUCAGCUGUAUCAGCGUCUCCUCCAUCCAGCACCGGCCAGACUCGAUAGAAGCCUACUCGCUAGCGACCCCUUGAUCCUGCCGCCACCUGAAACAUAGAGGAUUGGGAAAGCAAAAGAAAAGAACAAAUCUGCAGAGAGGGAAGUAGACCCUAAACGGAGAAGAAGAGAAAGAAAAAUAGAUUGAAAACAAAGAAAAAAAUUAAAAUCAACUGCCUGUGGUGUUUUCGGUUGUUUUGCAGGUCACCGCCGGAGUAGGGAGACAGAGAAGAGGAAGACAUUUCCGAUCCACCAGUUUUAUUGCCUUUAUCGGCGGCGAUGGCGUGUGGAGCAACGCGCCGCCACUGUUCCAGCACUGUUCCUACGGUUCUAGAAGGCUUCCCAGCACUGUUAUGGAUUUUUUGGGGGGUCUAUUUUGUAAUUUUUAAAUUGUUUAAUGUAAUUUUUGCUUAGUUGUUGAAUUUUUAUAAUUUGUAGUGUGUAUGUCUGUAAAAAAAAAAAACAUAUAGUAAAAGUGAAGGUGUGUGUUUGUAUACGUUUUAUGGAUGUUUUAUUUAUUCAUUUUAUUUUAUUUUAUGAUAAAAUUGCAAAAGCAAAAGAAGAAUUUAAUAUUUUGAUUUGCUCUCAAUAAAGCAUUACAAACUUAUACGUAAGUCGUAUUUCUAAUAUUCGAUGAAAAGACAAAAUUUUUAAAACUUCUUUAACACAUCAAGGCCACGAAGCAGCUUACCUCAGGUAAGGUGCGUUAGGGAUGCUAAUACCUUCCCUAACCACAACCAGUCUCUUACCCGUGAAUCUCUAACAAGACCAGCACACCCGGAUUUCCUAUUAGCCCUCAAUUAAAUACUUGGUGGCAACUCCCAAGAACCAAUCAAGCAAACAAAACAUAACGAAAAAUCACCAACGGACGCCGCGCAGGUGACGUGCGACAGGACGCAAACUUGACUUGAAGAUACUUAAAUAUAAUUUCAUGUCAUCAAGUCCUUAUAGGAUUUAAUUUGGCAUCACAAAAAUAAUUUUUCAUUGCUGAAUUUAUUAUCCAAAAAAUAAUUUCAUUUCUGAAAUUAAUACAUAGUAAAAAACACCUCAUGAAAUUUUUUAUUAUUAUAUAUUUUGGUAUUAUCACUCAAAAUCCUUUUAAAUGGAUAGCAUAAACUUGGUCAAAUGAUUUCUCAAACUUUGAUUACACUAAAAGUCUAUUGUCCUUUUUUAACCCAGUGGUAAACUUAUUUUACACACACAUGGAUCUUGUAAUAAAUGUUUUUUCUUCCAAAAACAGGUUAUAGCCAUUUUUAAUAAAAUUGAAAAACACUUUGAAAGUUCAAAACAUCUAACUCCAUUUUUAUUAGUAUGUGUAAUGACCAUGUGUUGAUUUUUCACAUAUAAUUACCACUUUUUCACUUUAUAUGAACAACCUUACAAAACUUAUGCUUUCUAACUAUCUAAUCUAAAAGCAUUUAUUAUUUUUGUAAUCUUCUCAAAAUUUUAAACUCUAUUUGCAUCAAUCUUCUCUUUCAUAUUCUUGAGUUGUAUUAUAUUUCAUAAAGAAUUGAGUUUAAUCUAUUCUGACAUCACUACUAGAAAUUCGCUAAAUACCAACGGACUCACCGACGGAAUUUUUUCUGUUGGUAUUUUUCGGUCGAACUCACCGACGGACUAUUUUCGUCAGUAAUUCGGUCGGUAAUUACCGACAAAAAAUUCAGAAUUAAUGAAAAAAGGGCGGGUAGGUGGUGCGGAGGUGUUGGCGUGUGAUUUUUCUGACGGAAUCACCGACGGAAUGAAAACUGGGGAGCCGUACGCGUGAUGGGACCUGUUCACCGUCAAUAAUACCGACGGAAUGACCGACGGAUGUGAAAUGCCAGAUUCGUACCGGUGACGUGACCGGUGCACCAUUAAAAAUACCGACAGAAUCACCGAGGGAUUUGAAUAGCAGGUCCGUACGGUGACGUGUCGAUUGCCCGUCAGAAUUACCGACGGUUUCACCGACGGAAUAAAACCGUCGGCAAAAGUGAAUAUAUGGCCACUCUGCCGACACUCUCCUCCCCCAUUUCUCCUUCUUCUUCCUAAUCCUAACCCUCCCCAUCUGCAAAUAACCAGCCCCCCCUCGCCCCAAAACAAAAAUCUUCCUCAUCUCAGCACAACAAGUUGUAUUUCUUGAAGUUUUGUGGUCACAGCAUCCGUGUUCUGAUUUACCGACGGAUUUUAUCAUUUUUUGUAAGUAAUUCUAUCUUUUAAAAUUUUAACAUUUAAAUGUCAAUUUUAUUGUUUUUUUAGUAUAUGUAUUUUUUUUUAGUAGAUGUACAUGUUUUAUUGUUAUUUCUCAAACAAACUUGUAGUAUAUGAAUGUAUAAUUUUAUACUUGUUAUGGUUUGUUUUAGAUUUUGUAAGAUUGUAUUUGUUUGUAAAUUGUUAAAACUUAAUUUGUAGAAUUACCGAAUUACAUGUUAUGUUUUGAAAUAAUUAAGAGCUUGCUUAAUGGGUCCUUUUUAUAGAGGUUCGAUAGAAGUCAUGGAUGAUCGUUCAUGGAUGUAUCUAGAUUCACCCCAAGGAUUGCGGAGGAUGGAUUAUUGUAACGGGGUUCAGGGUUUUAUUAAUUUCGCAACAUCUAUUCCCAAAAAUUUUACUGGAGGCGGUAUUAGGUGUCCAUGCAGGAAGUGUCAAAAUAAAAAGUAUCUGCAUCCAGAUGUUGUAAUGAUGCAUCUUCUACACAAAGAGUUUGUGGAGGAUUACGAGUGUUGGUAUGCACAUGGAGAGGUAUUUGUUAGUAAUAGGAGAAUAGGAGAAUAGGAGAAACGGUGGUUGGGUCAACUUCUAGUGCUAGCAACAUGCAUGAAGCGACAAAUGACAACACUAAUCCUUACAGAAAUAUGGUUAUGGAUGCAAUGAGAAUGAAUCAUGAUAAUGUCAAUCAAUGUCCAAUCGUAGAAAAAGAACCUAAUGCAGAGGCAUCUAGGUUUUUUGAUUUGUUGAAAGAUUUUGACGAACCACUAUGGGAUGGCUGCACAAACCACAGUAAAUUAUCGGCCGUGGCACAGGUGUUCACCAUCAAGUCAGAUCACGGGUUGAGUGAGGUAUGGUAUACAAAAUUAUUGAUUGGGCAAGAAGCAUUUACCUGAAGGAACAGGCUCAAAGAGAACUUCUAUGCUGCGAAGUCCAUGAUGAAACCCCUCGGUUUAGGAUAUAAAAAUUGACAUGUGCCCUAACUUCUGCAUGUUAUACUACCUUGAAAAUGCUGAGAUGACCGAGUGCAUGACAUGCGGGCAUUCCCGUUACAAACCCAGAACUGGCAGGGGAAGACUCUAGUGGCAUAUAAAAAACUUAGAUAUUUCCCGAUCACACCUAGACUGCAGAGGUUAUUUAUGUCACCAAGGACUGCUGAGCACAUGACAUGGCACCAAACACACGAUGUCGUUGAUGGUGUGAUGGUGCAUCCUUCUGACGGCGAAGCGUGGAAACGUUUAACAGUUCAUCCUGACUUUUCUGCUGAAUCAAGGAAUGUUCGACUUGGGUUGUGUACAGACGGGUUCAACCCAUUUGGGUCAUUUGCUGCUCCCUAUUCUUGUUGGCCGGUCAUUCUCACAGUUUAUAACUUGCCACCGGGAAUGUGUAUGAGGCCGGAGUUCAUGUUUCUAUCUACUGUCAUACCCGGUCCAAGCAGCCCGGGGCGGAAUAUAGAUGUUUGUCUUCGACCGUUGAUAGAUGAGCUGGUGCAGUUGUGGUCCUCCGGAUCUCUGACUUAUGAUAUAUCGAGGAAACAAAAUUUCCUUAUGAGGGCGGCUUUGAUGUGGACUAUCAGUGAUUUUCCAGCUUAUGGAAUGCUUUCUGGUUGGAGCACGCAUGGGAAACUCGCAUGUCCAUACUGCAUGGAAAACAACAAGGCAUUCACGCUAGCAAACGGAGGUAAAGCUUCUUUUUUUGACUGUCACCGUCGCUUCUUGCCACUUAAUCACAGGUUCAGAAAGAACAGAAAAGAUUUCUUUGUUGGUAGAGUUGAAAAAGAUGUUGCAUCCCCGCGUCUUUCUGGUGAAGAAUUGCAUCAUGUUGUAUCAGAGUACGGUGACAUUGUGUUUGGCCUUCAAUCAGGUAAGCAAAAGUUUCCUGGUUUUGGUUUGACCCAUAAUUGGGUAAAGCGAAGUAUCUUUUGGGAGCUUCCGUAUUGGAAGACUAAUCUUCUCCGCCAUAACCUUGACGUCAUGCACAUCGAAAAGAACGUGUUUGAGAAUAUUUUCAACACCGUCAUGGAUGUGAAGGGGAAGACAAAGGACAACAUGAAGGCUAGAUUGGAUAUAGCUUUAUACUGUAACCGUAAAAAUAUGGAGUUGGUUUAUGACGAGUCACGGGUUGCAAAACCAAGGGCAAGCUUCGUGUUAGAGAAAAACGCACAACUGCUAGUCUACAAAUGGCUUAAGAGUCUGCGUUUCCCGGAUGGACAUGCAUCGAACAUAUCAAGGCUUGUUAACAUAGAGGACUGCAGAUGAAUGAAGAGUCAUGACUGCCACGUGUUUAUGCAAACACUCAUCCCAUUAGCUUUUCGUGAUUUGUUGCCAAAGGGAAUAUGGGAUGCACUAACGGAGAUCAGUCAUUUCUUCAGAGAUAUAUGCUCCAGCAAGAUGAAUGUUGAGCACAUUGAGAUGCUUCAAACGAAUAUCAUCGAGACACUAUGCAAACUUGAGAUGAUAUUCCCUCCUUCAUUUUUUGACUCAAUGGAGCAUCUCCCUAUACAUCUACCGUUCGAGGCAAAAGCUGGAGGACCGGUCCAGUAUAGAUGGAUGUACCCAUUCGAACGGUGAGAUAUUACAGUUGCAAUGGAAUUCAUAUCUUAAAGUAUUUUCUAUGUUUUUCUUAUUGAAAAUACUUGAAUUGUACUUCAAUGCAGGUACUUGUUUAAUCUAAAAAAAAAGGUUAAGAACAAGGCGCAUGUUGAGGCUUCGAUAUCUGAGGCCUAUAUUGUUGAAGAGAUAUCAACAUUUAUCUCGUACUAUUUCGAACCUCAUCUGAGAACAAGAAUCAAUCGCGUUCCACGGCAUGACGAUGGCGGUGAAGUGCCUUCCAGUGGGAACUUGUCAAUAUUCUCCAAUACUGGACGACCCACACCUAAAAAUGCCGUAAGAGGAAGAUAUUUGUCGGAAAUAGAAUUCAAACAAGCACACAACUAUGUUCUAUUUAACUGUGAUGAGCUGAGACCAUUUAUUCAGUAAGUCUAUAUAUGUGUAAUACUAAUUAAACUUUGUCAGUAAUAUACUGUUAAUUAUAUAUUGUAAUAUCAUACACUCAUUAUCACUUGCAGGCAACAUCGACAAUAUUUGCUCUCCAAUAACUCGCAGCUGACCGAAUCCCAGAUCUUUCAAUUACAAGAUGAACAAUUUGCCACAUGGUUCAGAACACAUGUAAGCACUAUCACAAACUCAUUCUAACGUAUGCAUGUCAUUACGAGAUUCUCGUUCAUUUACCGUUAUUGAUGUACAUUUAAUUACAUAUAUUUACAAGGUUUAUCAAAUGGGAAGGAGUGCCCAAGUCAUUGUCUUCACUAAGCCUCGGCCCUGAAAGAAAAGUUAAGUGCUACAACGGGUAUUUUGUCAAUGGAUAUGUUUUCCAUACUGAAGAAUACGGGCAAGGAAGAAAGACAUACAACUGCGGUGUUUGUGUUAAGGGAUCCACAAGUAGCCAGUUAGAAGUUGACUACUAUGGUAGAUUAGAAGAGGUCGUCGAACUGCAAUAUCAUAGCGAGCAGAAUAAAGUGUUUUUAUUCAAAUGCUAUUGGUAUGACACGACGGACAGAGGAAUCAGAGUUGAUCCGCACCAUGGUCUGGUCGAAAUCAACUCAAAAGCUAGACUCCGCAACAUAAACGAUGUCUUUGUUUUCGCAAAGCAAUGUCAACAAGUUUAUUACACAUACACCCCUUCAUUUAGAAAGGAUUCAAGAGUUGAUUGGUUGUCCGUUUUAAAAACGAAACCACGGGGUCGUGUCGAGGUUGUUCAGGAUGAGAACGAAGACACAAGUGUGCGAGAUGAAGUCUUUCAAGUUCGUGAGUUGGUUGAACCAUAUCGAGUUGCUCCUUCGAUUGAAUUGGAAGAAAAUUCAAAUUUUCGAGUUCUCGAUGAUAGUCUUGUUGAUAUUGACGGAGAGGAGUUGAAUGUUGUUCUCAGCUCUAGCGGACAAGCAAAUGUCGAUGAAGAAGAUGAUAUCCAUAUUGAAGAUUGCAAUGAAGAUGAUGACAAUUCAAUUGAUGAGGAAGAAGAAAAUUCCGACUAAUUAUGAAAAUGAAGCCCUAUGUAAAAACAUUUGUCUCAUGUAAUUUAGAUUAUGGAUGAUGUAUUUUGUAAAACAAAAUAUUUACUGUUUAAGCAAUGUGGUUAUUGUUUUAUGUGAUGGACAGUUUAUCAGUUAAGUUUUUGCAGGAAGGUAAACAGGCAAUACAAAGACAACCUUUCCUGCAUAAUGCAAACUUACCGAUGUCCAUACCGACGGAUAACCAUCCGUCGGUAUCUCACAAAGAGUUCGAAAUUAAUUACGCGAAAUGCCACCAACACCGACGACAUUACCGACGAUUCACCGACACAUACACCGACGGAUUCUAGUCCGUCGGUAUCUCACAGAGAGUUCGAAAAUAAUUACAACAAAAUGCCACCUUCACCGACGGGUAUACCGACGGAUUCUAGUCCGUCGGCAUCUCACAGAGAGUUCGAAAACAUUUACAACAAAAUUCCACAAUCAUCGACGGGCAUACCGACGGAUUCUAGUCCGUCGGUAUCUCACAGAGAGUUCGAAUAUAUUUACAACAAAAUGCCACAAUCACCAACGGAUUCACCGACAGAUGUUUCGACGCUAAUAUCGACGGAAUAUUUAUGUCGGUAAUUUGUCGGUCACACAUAUUACCGACAGAAAUACCGACGGACCGUGCGAUUUCCAAAGUGUGUGAAUUAAAGCGCCUCUGAACUUGUCAUAUUACCGACGGAAUCACCGACGGACGUCGAAAAAUAUGGAGGGCUUUUAAAAAUUCGGUGCGAAAUUCAAAAAUUACCGACGGAUUUUUGACCUGUUACCGACGGAAUUUUUGACCUGUUACCGACGGAUAUUAAGUCCGUCGGUGAUUCCGUCAAUAAAACUGCCAUAUAAGUUCUAGCCCCCGCCGCUUCGCCUCAUUUUUUCUUCUUCUCCCCGCGCCGCUUCUCUUCUCUUCUCCUCCGUUUUGCACCUCAGAUUUUUUAUUUUUUUGCCUUCAAUCUCUAGCAAGAUUUAGUGUUGUGAAUCUUCCUCAUAUUAAAAGGUAUGUGUUUUUUUCCAAUUUAUUUUAUUUACUUUUAAUUUAUUUUUAGUUGUUUUUAUUUUUGUUAUUUUGUUGUUUUGGUGUUUUUUUUUAUAAUGUAGAUAAAGUUUUGAAUUUGUCACAUUAUUAAGGUAUGUAUAUUUCUUUCCUUUUCUUGAUGUAGGUUUUUUUUUUGAAUGUUUUGAAUAUUUUUUAUUGUUUUGUUGUUAUAAUAACAUAUUAGUUAAUUUGUUGAAUAUUUGUUGUUAAAGUUGAAUUUAACUUAGAAUUAGUAAUUGAAUAUGUUAGAAUAAUUAUUAAUUUUACUUUAUUAUUGCAUGAUUUGUGUUUAAUUAUUUUCAUUGAUUUUAAUUGUUAGUCUAUAUAUAUUUUUGAAUUUAUUGAAUAUAAUUUAUUGUUGUAUUGCCAUAUAUAAUUAUUGAUUAAUUUGUUGAAUUAUAAUUGUUAAUGUUGAAUUUACCUUAGAAUUAAUAAUUGGAUAUGUUGGAAUAAUUAGUAUUUUUUUAUAUAUUAUUGCAUGAUUUGUGUUUAAUUGUUUCCAUUGAUUUUAAUUGUUAGGCUAUAAUUCUUUUUUAUUUUAUUGAAUAUAUUUUAUUGUUGUAUUGCCAUAAUUAUUUAAUAAUUUGUUGAAUUAAUAUUGUUAAUGUUGAAUUUAUCUUAGAUUUAAUAAUUGAAUAUGUUGGAAGAAUUAUUAAUUUUACUCUAACUUGAUGAUUUGUGUUUAAUUGUUUCUAUUUAUUUUGAAUUUAUAGUUUUGUUGUAUUGACAUAAUUAUUGAAUAAUUUGUGAAUUGUAAUUGUUAACGUUGAAUUUAUCUUAGGAUUAAUAGUUGAAUAUGUUGGAAUAAUUAGUAUAGAUUGGGUCAAUUGGUUGUGGCUAUUAUUAAUAUUUGCAGGUUUAUGGAUUUGGGUAGUAUCCAGUAUAGGGGAGGUGCUGCCGAUUUUUUUUAACUUUUGAAUUUUAUUAUACAAUUAUUUAUAUAAAAUUGUUUAGAUGUGCAGAAUGAAAUCCAGAGCUAGUCGUUCACGUCCAGUCGAAUCAAGUUCGUCUAGCAGCGAUGUUGAUGUUUCCUUAGGUGCCUCUCAAGAAGAGGCACCUACACCACCUGCGCCGUCAACCGAUGCUGCCUCUUCCAGUGAUGUUUCACAUCGCAGAAGCGGCAUGCCUUCGCAGCGGAAUCAAUUUACCCGCAAGUACGAGGCACAUUGGAAGGACGAUCUUUCAAUGUAAGUUUGUUAAGGUUUCAGUUUUUUUAUAUAUAUAUAAAAAAAAACAAAUUUAAAACAUAAUUUAUGAAGUAAUCACUAUUUCAUUAAUUUCAUUUCUUUUCAGGUUCACAAACAUUGAGGCUGCCCGAGUAAUAUCAUCGGCGUUUAAAGCGUCGAUGGAGAUUCCAUUGUUUCAAUGGAGUCAGAUAUCCAGGAAUCCUGAAUGGAUGCCUCAAAUCAAUGCAUGGUUUCGUAGAUUUGAGGUUCGUAUUAAUAUAUAAUUUUCAGCUUAUUUCUAAUAAAUUCUAGUUAUAAUUGUAAAUAAAUUAUUAACAUUUUAAAGAAUUAUUUUUUUAUACACAGCAUCGAUUCAGCCGGGACGAUGAACAUGACACUGUUGUGAGGAGGGUGUGGGAAAAUCACGCGGCAAUUAGGUAACAUCGAAAACAAUAUGACUUUUUUUUUACAUAAUUAUUUAUGUUUCGAAAUGUAAUUUUUUCGUGCAUGAAUUAGGUUGUGUGAUUUUUGGUAUGAAAUAUAGAAAAAGGCAAAAAAAACAGCGAGGGAUAAGGGGUUCCAAGGCUGGAACGAUGUUGCGGUUUGGAGGGAUUUCAAACCGAUAUACAUCCCGGAAGAUAUAUGGCCGCACUAUCUUCAGCACGUGACGUCUGAGCGGUUCACUCGACGCUCACAGUUCGGUGCUGGCAACUGGAAUCGGCCAAUUCAUAGCUCGGUGACAACGCACACCGGCGGCUCCGUUCUGUUUGCUGCACAUGCGAAACGGAUGGUAAGAUUAAUUUAAAUGAAAUAUAUCGUUCAAUUAAUUUGUUGUUAAUAAAUUUUUUUCAUUAUAGGCUACGUCUCUUGGACGUGAGCCGAGCCCUAUGGAGCUGCUUGUGGAGACGCACGUGCGGAGUCAUUACCGCCAAAAGGGGACGCAACAGUUCGUUGACAAUCGUGCUCAACAGUUUGUGGUAUGUUUGUUCAACCAUUUUAUUUUGUAAGUUAUUAUUAUUUUUAUUGAAUUGAAUAUGAUGAUUAUUAUUUUUUUCAAGAGACCUAAUAAUCGGUUGAGGGAGAGAUACGGGGACGAUUCUUCGACCCAUUCGGAAUUCGAUCCGGAUUUGUGGAUGGAGGCUGGAUCGUCAGGUGGACCCGAUAAAAAUCGGGUUUACGGGCUCUCCAACACUACCGCCGCCAACUUGCGGUCGACCGGUACUGCUUCAACCGUUGGGAGCCCCCAAUCUAAGGAGUUCGUGGCCUUGCAGCAAAGGUGCGACCACCUAUCAGAGGCGUACACACAACUCAAAGAAGAGCAAAGAUUGGCGAACGAACAACACAGAGCAAAGUCUGAACAACAAAGAGCGGCCUAUGAAGAGCUUCGUCAAAUGGUCAUGAACAUGACACAAGGUGGAACAUGUGCGCCUAAUCCUUUUUGGCCGCCUAACCCCCAGCCUCCUCCACCUCUAUAUUAAUUUUUAAUAAACAUUAUUUACAUUUAAAAUUUCGUUUAAUGUUUUUUUGAAACACAUUCAUUUUGUAAUGAAUAUUAUUUAACUUUGAGUUUUUGUUGCUUAAUAUAAAUUUUAUUUGCAUAAUUGGUUUGUAUUACCAUUAAUUUAUAUUAUUAUUUUUAAAUAAUUAAAAAAAAAUUAAAAAAAAUUACAUAGGGAUUUACCGACGGAAUAACUCCGUCGGCAUUGGACAGUGUCUACCACCAUCACCGACGAAUAUUCAGACGGACAGAUUCGGUCGGUAUUCCAUCCCAUCACCGACGGAAAUAAUCCGUCAGUAUAAAUUUACCGACGAAUUUACAGACAGAAAUAUUCGGUCGGUAUGAAAUAUCACCGACACUUUUACCGACGGAUUUAUUCCGUCAGUAUUUACAUAACACCGACGGAAAAUUUUCCGUCGGUAUAUUUCAAGCGGGAAACUUUUUUUUUUUGGCCCGCACGGUCCGUCGGUAAAUGUUUUUUUUGUAUUUCCGACCGAUAUAGCGACGGAAUGUGGAAUCACCGACAAAAGUUAUUCCGACGGGCAUAUUCCGUCGGUAAUAUAGUCGGUAAAUAAUUUACCGACGAACUUGCUGUCACACACCGACGGAAUAUUUCAGUCGUUAAAACUGUGAAAUCUUGUAGUGCAUUGUCUUUAUUAAUUAUAAAGUGUGAAAAACCCUUGUGAUAGAAAAUCUAUUAUAAAAGUGUAAAGAGUACUUGAACCAUUUAGAAAAAUAUUUGGUUGUGAGUCAUUAGAAAGUUAAGAUCUUGAUAUUUAAAAAAGAUUGGGAGUGAAAGGGUUUUUAAGCUUGAUAAUGUGAAAAGAUUAAUAUAUUAGUAAGAUAAUGAAUACUUGAACAGUGGUUUAAGAAAUAAAGUUGGUGAUUACCUGAGCUACUAAAAAUUUAGUAUCUGUCUCUUCAUCUUUAUCUAAUUUUAUUUUUGUCUUUCAUAUAUGAUAUUUAUUGCCAAAUUCUUAAGUUACAAGGAUUGAUUUUUAAAGCAUCCAAUCUUCAAUGAAGACUUAAUAAUUCACAUCAUUCUUAGAUGUUAUUUUAGACUUUUAAUACUGAACAUUAAAAAACAAUUCACUUUCUCAAAAUUUACAUUUCUAAAAUUUACUUUCUAAAAAAUACUAUUUUGCAGCAAAUAAACUGCGCUAAAAUAUAACUGGACCAAGUGAUUUUUCUUGUUCUUAAAUCAGUAUCUCGUUUUAGUUUUUGAAGUUAAUUUCUUGUCAACAGCACCUCUUACAGCCAUCACUUUCCUUCAACAGUCCUUUAUAAGGAGGCCAACACUCUUCUCCCAUCUCAGUGUAGAUCCAGUUCUUGAGCCAAAUUCAGUUUGAGCACAAACCUCGACAAAAUUACUAAUGGCGUCUAAAUCCUUUGAACAGAUAGUGAUGCUCCCGUUUAUGGCUCAUGGCCAUCUCAUACCUUUUCUUGCUCUUGCAAGACAAAUCCAUCAAGCAACUGGUUUCAAAAUAUCCAUUGCAAGCACCCCUCUUAACAUCCAGUACCUUUCUUCCACCUUCAACUCCUCAUCCGAUGAACCAGAAAAUGACCAUAUCCACCUCCUUGAGCUACCUUUUUGCAGUACUGAUAAUGACUUGCCUCCAAACACUGAAAACUCCGAGAACUUGUCUCUGGAUUCGAGUGGCAAACUUUUCUCUGCAUCACUAAGUCUUAGGAAACCAUUUCACAACCUUGUAUCUGACAUUGCAGCUAAACAAGGUCACCCCCCACUUUGUAUAAUAUCAGAUGUUUUCCUUGGAUGGGCAGCUGAAGUUGCGAGCAGUCUGGGGACUGUGAAUGUCAGUUUCUCUACAGGUGGUGCUUAUGGAACCUUGGCUUCCUCAUCUCUUUGGCUCAAUCUUCCUCAUCGAGGUAGAAGUGAUUCCGAUGAGUUUCAUUUGCCGGGAUUUCCUGAUAGCUGUCGCUUUCACGUCAAUCAGUUGAAUCAUUUCAUAAGAAAUGCUGACGGCACUGAUUCUUGGUCUAAGUUUUUUCAGUCACAGAUCUCACUCUCAAUGCAAUCUUUUGGGUGGUUGUGCAAUACAGCUGAGGAAUUUGAGCCUGCAGGAUUGGAAUGGUUGAGGAACUUUCUCAAACUUCCUGUCUGGGCUAUAGGGCCUCUUCUGCCACCAAUGGUGCUCAACAAUGAUGAUUCUUCUUUAUCUGUAGCUGCAUCAGGUAUAAGCACAAGACGUGCUGGUAAAAAACUAGAGAUUUCUAUUGAGAAAUGCAUGGAAUGGCUUGAAUCGCACAGUCCAGCUUCGGUGCUCUAUAUUUCUUUUGGUUCUCAAAACACCAUAAGUCCCUCCCAGAUGAUGGAGUUAGCUAUUGGGUUGGAAGAGAGUGCGAAACCUUUCGUCUGGGUCAUCAGGCCUCCUGUUGGUUUCGAACCAACAAGUGAAUUUAGAGCAGAAUACCUACCAGAAGGAUUUGAAGAAAGAAUGGAGAAAAGAAAACAAGGUUUGUUGGUGAGGAACUGGGCGCCCCAAUUGGAGAUUUUGUCACACAAGUCCACCGGAGCGUUCCUAAGCCACUGUGGGUGGAAUUCAGUGUUGGAAAGCUUGAGCCAAGCAGUGCCAAUUAUAGGAUGGCCUUUGGCCGCUGAACAGGCCUACAAUUCCAAAAUGCUGGUGGAGGAGAUGGGUGUGAGUGUGGAGUUGACAAGGGGAGUGCAGAGGAGCAUAGAUUCGAAGGAGGUGAAGAGAGUGAUAGAGCUGGUGAUGGACAGGAAAGGGAAGGGAGGUGAUAUGAGGAGCAAGGCAAUGGUGAUUAAAGAACAGUUGAGGGCAUCAGUGAGAGAUGAAGGAGAAGACAAAGGAUCUUCUGUUAAAGCUCUGGAUGAUCUUAUCAAGACCCUUCAAUCAAAAUGGCAGAUGAUUGAUAGUAUCAGUUAAUCGCAUGAUUGAUCCUUUUUAAUGAGGAUUAAACCUUCUUGGUUGUUGUUAUUGCUUGCUUCAGUUUUACUAUGUUCUUUAUUCCCUCUGUACCAAGUAUUGGAGCAUUACGUACAUCGUAAGGAUUUCAAUCAAAUUAUUUCAAGAUUAUAAAUUUAUGGAAUAGACAGCAUUUGUCAUCCCGGCAUGGUAAACGAGAAAGCAACUGCUACUGCUACUGCAGGCAGAGAUGCUUUCUUCAACCGACAACUGGAUUCGGCUUCAUCCGCCGACACUGACCCCAAGUCCUUUCGUUUUAGCAUUUUUACAACCAGACAUGCAAAAACAUAUCUUGUAAACACAUGGAAAAAAAAAAACACGUGAAGAAAAAAAAAAAGGCAGAACAUGAAGACUUAUUAAGAACAAUGAACAAAAAAACCUUGCUCUUGAAGCUAUUGUUUCAAAUGGAGGAAGAUAGUCAUUUUUUCUCAUCUCUCUCUUACACACAAAGAGAUUAUGUUCAAAACCUAAUUUCAUGAUCCGGUAGUGCACAAAUCUUGUAACUUAACAAAUGCUAGAAACCAUAAGACCAAUAACAUGCACUUCUUCGAUGAGGUUUACUCCCUCUGUAGUCUCAGGUUUAAGUCAUGUGGUUGCUUAUAUGAUGGCAACUAGAGGCUUGUAUGGUCUGUGGGAUUAGUCAAGGUACGCGCAGACUAGUCCGAACAACCAUAUUAAUAAUAAAAAUAUAUAGCAUGCACUUCUUUUAUGGUCUGGGAUUAGUCAAGGUACGCGCAGACUAGGUUGACCGAGCUGCACACAUUCUUUGGUUUUGGUUUAAUGAGGUCGCCAGAUGGGAUCUCAGGUAGCUUUGGUUAAAGGGAAUCGCCAGAUAGGAUUUCAGGUUGACCGAGCCCACAUAUUUUUUGGUUUUAGUUAAAUGAAGUCGCCAAAUGGGAUCUCAGGUAGCUUUGCUUAAAGGGAAUCGCUAGAUAGGAUUUCAGGUUUACCGAGCUACACAUAUAUUUUUUUGUUCUAGUUGAAUGAGGUCAGAUGAGAUCUCGGGUAGCUUUGGUUAAAGGAAUCGCCAGAUGAGAUUUUAGGUUGACCGAGUUGCACACAUUCUUUGGUUUGGUUUAAUGAGGUCACCAGAUAAGAUCUCAUGUAGCUUUGGUUAAAGGGAAUCGCCAAAUGGGAUUUCAGGUUGACCGAACUCCACAUAUUAUUUGGUUUUGGUUUCAUGAGGUCGCCAGAUGGGAUCUCUGGUAGCUUUGGUUAAAGGGAAUCGCCAGAUGGGAUUUCAGGUUGACUAAGUUACACACAUUUCUUUGGUUCUAGUUAUAAAAGAGGUCGCCAGAUGGGAUUUCAGUUAGCUUUGAUAAAGGGAAUCGCCAUGGGAUUUUAGGUUGAUCGAGUUACACAUUGUUUUGGGUUUGGUUAAACGAGGUCGCUAAAUGGGAUCUUAGGUUAAUGGAAAAAAAAUGAGAGAGAAAAAAACAGAGAGAGAAAGAGAGAAAGAAAGAAAGAAAGAAAAAGAAAAAGAAAAAAGUAAAGUCUUAGAUUAGUGGAUAUUGAGCGCAAGUUAAGAAGACAGAAGAAGUUUUCUUUACAAAGCUUACUAUGCAAAACAUUGAGGAGUUUUGCUUCGUAAGCAUUGUAAAGAGGUGGCAGCUGUUGCUACCUAAAUUUUUUACCCAUGUUUUGAUAAAUUCUCAAAAAAAUCCAAAAUAGAGAAAAAACAACGAAAAUCCAAAAAAUAUUUUUUUUAAUAUAUUUUCAUCAUUUUUAGCAUUUUUAAAAGAAUUUAAAUUUCAAAAGAUCUUGGGAACGCGUUCGACUUUUAACGCGUUAUUUAUAAAAAAUCACCGAUUUUCCUCAUUCGAGGCAAUGUUGAUAAGAAAAAAUCAAAAUUUACAAAAAAAAAGUUGAGGGACCAAGUUUGGAAACCUAACAAUAUUUUUACCUAUAAAUACUGGUCUUCAACACACACAAAAGUGGGAGGGGGGGCAAUUUCGAAACAAAAAAAGAGAGACACAAUAAACCCUAAAAAACCUAUCUUUACCCACACUAGCCACCCCACCCAUUCAGUUGGCCACUCUCUUUUCUCCAACCAAAGCCACUGCCCCCCUUCUUCCUCUGGUCUCCCCUCCUAGACCCAUACAGACCCAGCCACAACCCGUCCCUUCUCUGAUCUGCCCCGACCAAGACCAACCCCAAAACAGCUGUUAAUUCACUUACAAAGAGGCGUCCCCUUUCCCCACAUUACCUCUCAUCUUCAACCUUCACAUCAAAGCCUUCCCCUCAGCACCGUCUUCUUCUCCUUCAGACCAUCAAUGUCGGCCUCCACCAAGCACCACAACACAGUCGAGCUCCUCCCUCACAGCCGCAACAUCAUUUCCUCUCCAUCCCACCGUUUCCUUCUCUCACCCAAACAACCCACAAACACACGGUCUUCACCGUCAGCUGUAUCAGCGUCUCCUCCAUCCAGCACCGGCCAGACUCGAUAGAAGCCUACUCGUCAGCGACCCCUUGGUCCUGCCGCCACCUGAAACAUAGAGGAUUGGGAAAGCAAAAGAAAAGAACAAAUCUGCAGAGAGGGAAGUAGACCCAAAACGGAGAAGAAGAGAAAGAAAAAUAGAUUGAAAACAAAGAAAAAAAUUAAAAUCAACUGCCUGUGGUGUUUUCGGUUGUUUUGCAGGUCACCACCGGAGUAGGGAGACAGAGAAGAGGAAGACGUUUCCGAUCCACCAGUUUUAUUGCCUUCAUCGGCGGCGAUGGCGUGUGGAGCAACGCGCCGCCACUGUUCCAGCACUGUUCCUGCGGUUCUAGAAGGCUUCCCAGCACUGUUAUGGAUUUUUUGGGGGUCUAUUUUGUAUGUAAUUUUUGUUUGUAAUUUUUGUUUAGUUGUUGAAUUUUUAUAAUUUGUAGUGUGUAUGUAUGUAAAAAAAAACAUAUAGUAAAAGUGAAGGUGUGUGUUUGUAUACGUUUUAUGGAUGUUUUAUUUAUUCAUUUUAUUUUAUUUUAUGAUAAAAUCGCAAAAGCAAAAGAAGAAUUUAAUAUUUUGAUUUGCUCACAAUAAAGCAUUACAAACUUAUAUGUAAGUCGUAUUUCUAAUAUUCGAUGAAAAGACAAAAUGUUUAAAACUUCUUUAACAUAUCAAGGCCACGAAGCAGCUUACCUCAGGUAAGGUGCGUUAGGGAUGUUAAUACCUUCCCUAACCACAACCAGUCUCUUACCCGUGAAUCUCUAACAAGACCAGCACACCCGGGUUUCCUAUUAGCCCUCAAUUAAAUACUUGGUGGCAACUCCCAAGAACCAAUCAAGCAAACAAAACAUAACGAAAAAUCACCAACGGACGCCGCGCAGGUGACGUGCGACAGGACGCAAACUUGACUUGAAGAUACUUAAAUAUAAUUUCAUGUCAUCAAGUCCUUAUAGGAUUUAAUUUGGCAUCACAAAAAUAAUUUUUCAUUGCUGAAUUUAUUAUCCAAAAAAUAAUUUCAUUUCUGAAAUUAAUACAUAGUAAAAAACACCUCAUGAAAUUUUUUAUUAUUAUAUAUUUUGGUAUUAUCACUCAAAAUCCUUUUAAAUGGAUAGCAUAAACUUGGUCAAAUGAUUUCUCAAACUUUGAUUACACUAAAAGUCUAUUGUCCUUUUUUAAUCCAGUGGUAAACUUAUUUUACACACAUGGAUCUUGUAAUAAAAAAAAUUUUUCCAAAAAGAGGUUAUAGCCAUUUUUAAUAAAAUUGAAAAACACUUUGAAAGUUCAAAACAUCUAACUCCAUUUUUAUUAGUAUGUGUAAUGGCCAUGUGUUGAUUUUUCACAUAUAAUUACCACUUUUUCACUUUAUAUGAACAACCUUACAAAACUUAUGCUUUCUAACUAUCUAAUCUAAAAGCAUUUAUUAUUUUCGUCAACUUCUCAAAUUUUUAAACUCUAUUUGCAUCAAUCUUCUCUUUCAUAUUCUUGAGUUGUAUUAUAUUUCAUAAAGACUUGAGUUUAAUCUAUUGUGACAUUGUCUUUUUUAAUUAUAAAGUGUGAAAAACCCUUGUGAUAGAAAAUCUAUUAUAAAAGUGUAAACAACACUUGAACCAUUUAGAAAAAUAUUUGGUUGUGAGUCAUUAGAAAGUUAAGAUCUUGAUAUUUAAAAAAGAUUGGGAGUGAAAGGGUUUUUAAGCUUGAUAAUGUGAAAAGAUUAAUAUAUUAGUAAGAUAAUGAAUACUUGAACAGUGGUUUAAGAAAUAAAGUUGGUGAUUACCUGAGCUACUAAAAAUUUAGUAUCUGUCUCUUCAUCUUUAUCUAAUUUUAUUUUUGUCUUUCAUAUAUGAUAUUUAUUGCCAAAUUCUUAAGAGUUACAAGGAUUGAUUUUUAAAGCAUCCAAUCUUCAAUGAAGACUUAAUAAUUCACAUCAUUCUUAGAUGUUAUUUUAAACUUUUACUACCGAACAUUAAAAAACAAUUUACUUUCUCAAAAUUUACAUUUCUAAAAUUUACUUUCUAAAAAAUACUAUUUUGCAGCAAAUAAACUGCGCUAAAAUAUAACUGGACCAAGUGAUUUUUCUUGUUCUUAAAUCAGUAUCUCGUUUUAGUUUUUGAAGUUAAUUUCUUGUCAACAGCACCUCUUACAGCCAUCACUUUCCUUCAACAGUCCUUUAUAAGGAGGCCAACACUCUUCUCCCAUCUCAGUGUAGAUCCAGUUCUUGAGCCAAAUUCAGUUUGAGCACAAACCUCGACAAAAUUACUAAUGGCGUCUAAAUCCUUUGAACAGAUAGUGAUGCUCCCGUUUAUGGCUCAUGGCCAUCUCAUACCUUUUCUUGCUCUUGCAAGACAAAUCCAUCAAGCAACUGGUUUCAAAAUAUCCAUUGCAAGCACCCCUCUUAACAUCCAGUACCUUUCUUCCACCUUCAACUCCUCAUCCGAUGAACCAGAAAAUGACCAUAUCCACCUCCUUGAGCUACCUUUUUGCAGUACUGAUAAUGACUUGCCUCCAAACACUGAAAACUCCGAGAACUUGUCUCUGGAUUCGAGUGGCAAACUUUUCUCUGCAUCACUAAGUCUUAGGAAACCAUUUCACAACCUUGUAUCUGACAUUGCAGCUAAACAAGGUCACCCCCCACUUUGUAUAAUAUCAGAUGUUUUCCUUGGAUGGGCAGCUGAAGUUGCGAGCAGUCUGGGGACUGUGAAUGUCAGUUUCUCUACAGGUGGUGCUUAUGGAACCUUGGCUUCCUCAUCUCUUUGGCUCAAUCUUCCUCAUCGAGGUAGAAGUGAUUCCGAUGAGUUUCAUUUGCCGGGAUUUCCUGAUAGCUGUCGCUUUCACGUCAAUCAGUUGAAUCAUUUCAUAAGAAAUGCUGACGGCACUGAUUCUUGGUCUAAGUUUUUUCAGUCACAGAUCUCACUCUCAAUGCAAUCUUUUGGGUGGUUGUGCAAUACAGCUGAGGAAUUUGAGCCUGCAGGAUUGGAAUGGUUGAGGAACUUUCUCAAACUUCCUGUCUGGGCUAUAGGGCCUCUUCUGCCACCAAUGGUGCUCAACAAUGAUGAUUCUUCUUUAUCUGUAGCUGCAUCAGGUAUAAGCACAAGACGUGCUGGUAAAAAACUAGAGAUUUCUAUUGAGAAAUGCAUGGAAUGGCUUGAAUCGCACAGUCCAGCUUCGGUGCUCUAUAUUUCUUUUGGUUCUCAAAACACCAUAAGUCCCUCCCAGAUGAUGGAGUUAGCUAUUGGGCUGGAAGAGAGUGCGAAACCUUUCGUCUGGGUCAUCAGGCCUCCUGUUGGUUUCGAACCAACAAGUGAAUUUAGAGCAGAAUACCUACCAGAUGGAUUUGAAGAAAGAAUGGAGAAAAGAAAACAAGGUUUGUUGGUGAGGAACUGGGCGCCCCAAUUGGAGAUUUUGUCACACAAGUCCACCGGAGCGUUCCUAAGCCACUGUGGGUGGAAUUCAGUGUUGGAAAGCUUGAGCCAAGCAGUGCCAAUUAUAGGAUGGCCUUUGGCCGCUGAACAGGCCUAUAAUUCCAAAAUGCUGGUGGAGGAGAUGGGUGUGAGUGUGGAGUUGACAAGGGGAGUGCAGAGGAGCAUAGAUUCGAAGGAGGUGAAGAGAGUGAUAGAGCUGGUGAUGGACAGGAAAGGGAAGGGAGGUGAUAUGAGGAGCAAGGCAAUGGUGAUUAAAGAACAGUUGAGGGCAUCAGUGAGAGAUGAAGGAGAAGACAAAGGAUCUUCUGUUAAAGCUCUGGAUGAUCUUAUCAAGACCCUUCAAUCAAAAGGGCAGACGAUUAAUAGUAUCAGUUAACCGCAUGAUUGAUCCUUUGUAAUGAGGAUUAAUUAAGAUGAUUAAUUAAGACGAUUAAUAGUAUCAGUUAACCGCAUGAUUCCCUCUGUUACCAAGUAUUGGAGCAAAUUGAUAAUAAUCAUAUGUUUUUUAUUCCCUCUGUUACCAAGUUGGAGCAAAUAUAAUUUCAAGCUGGCAUAUAUAAAAAAAUAAAAAAUAAAAUGUUGGAUUAUUUACAGGAUUAUAUUUGCUCAUUUUCUUCAUUUUGCUUCUUCUAAAAAUUAUAUUUUACGUCAUAAAGUUUAUAAUUUUACAACUCUUUACAUCCUUACAAUGACAUAAAAAAAAAUCAACAACAAAUUAAUAUUGAAUUAUUUAUAAAAGUGUUAUCAUAUUUCAUUUAAUGAUUAAAAAGCCUUGCAAUAUUAAUAUUAUAACUUUUCCAUUCAACUAAACAAAAACCAUAGACACCAUGGAUGAGUUCUUCUUCCUCCAUUUUCUUUUCAAUCUCCAGCAAGUUCACAUGAAAUAAUUGAAACCGUUAUUUUUAUUUUUUUCACUUUUCAAUCUCCAGCUAGCCUAAAAGGGAGAAAGCAUAGAUCACAAAAUCACUAGUUUUAGCCGAACACCACCAUAGAUCCAAGACAACGGCAUAAACCAUAGUUAUUAAAAUUAGACCGGGCCGGUAGGUCGGCUUGGAACCUGCUCGACCCGAUAGUUGGACUGGUCCAAGUAAGGCAAAAUACCGGGAUAAGCAAAAACCCGACAAAACAUAGUUGACCUGUCAGGUUGACCCGUGACCUAGGCGACUUGGCAAAACCUGGUUGAAAUCUAGUUUUUUUUUUCAAAUGUGUUUUUUUCCUAGCCAAAAUUCCCAUAUAUAUAUAUUAGUUAAUUCUUUUCAAAGUUUACUAUUUAAAUAUUAUAAGAAUGUUUUAUUUUUUUAUUGUGGGAUUUAAAGCACUUUAAUAUAUAUACUUUAUAUUCACAAGAAAAAAGUUAUGUUUUUUUAAUGUGGAAUAAAAAACAUUUUUCAUUUGAAUAUUUCUACUUAAAAAGAUAACAUACUAACAUAAUAUAUUUUCAAAGUGGAAUACAAAUCCUUUAGAAAUAAUUUUUAAAACUUUAUUAUUUAUAAUAUAUAUAACAUAUAUUCACAUGGAUUGUUUAUUAAUUUUUUCAUAUGAAAUUUUAAAACUUCAAAUAUAUUUUUUUAUUUAUUUUUCUAGGUUGAUUCGGAUCAAUUCCUGAUUCGGUUUGAUAACUAUGACAUAAACAUUCAAAGAAAAAAGCAGAAAAUGAAGUCGUUUCAAGAAAAAUGAACAAAAAACCUUGCUCUUGAUGCUCUUGUUUCAAAUAGUGGGAGAGAGUCAUUUUUUUUAUCAUCUCUCUCUUACACGCAAACAGAUUACGUUCCAAAAUCUAAUUUCUUGAUCCGGUUGUGCACAAAUCUUGUAACUUAACAAAUGCUAGAAAGUAGAAACCCUAAGACCAAUAGCAUGGACUUCUUCUCUUGCUACUUCUAUUGUUUAGAAAUCAAAAUUGACGAGACAAAUUAUAACAUUGAUGUUUUUGAUAUAUUACAUAUAUGAGAGUAUUUUGAAUUUUUUUUUAUGGGAGUUUAAAAACUAAAUUGAUUCAUAAAAUGUAAUUUUCAAAAUAAAAUAAAAAAAUUAAAAUUUAUGGAAUUGAGUGGCCAUUUGUUUACGCGAUUGCAGCAACUUUUAAAGCAAAUCGCGGAUGUGAAUAAAACUACAGUUUACUAUUCACUUAAAUUUAAAUAAAACAUACGGAUGCAAUGGAAAAUGACUCUACUUUUCAUGUGAAUAUAGCUGAAAUUUUACUAGAUCCAGUCAGACUGGAAUUAUGAAGAAUGACUUCACUUUUUCACGUGAACAAUGAAUUCUCUCUCCACAAUUAAUUUCAGCCCCAAGUCCUUUCAUCUUAGCAUUUUUUCACGUGCUAUUGCAGGCAGCUUCAUUUGCUGACACUGCCCCAAGUCCUUUCAUCUUAGCAUUUUUUCAUGAACACGCAUUGGACAGCUUUUAUGUCCUAUUAACUUGAAGUGCUGGGUAGAAAGGCAAAAACACGUCAACUAAUUAAAUUUUAAAACUUAUAUUUUAAAAAUUAUCAAUUUAAAUUUUAUAAAUUUUAAAAUCAUUAAAAAUUUAUACAAUCAAGAAACUAAUCGAUAUAUACAUAAACUAGUCUAAAUAUAUACAAUUAUCAAAAUAAAUAAAAAAUAACUUAAAAUUCACGACUACAUCAGCCUAAGUUCGUAACAAUCCAGUAAAAAUUAUUGAAUUUUUAAAAAAUAAAAUUUCAAAACAACUUUAUUAUAAUUUAAAAAAAAAAUAUUACCUCAAUCUAUUUAACAGACAGUAGCUAUUACAAAUUUAUAAUAAUGAAACAGUCAUCAUGCUCCUCCAAGAUUGUCCCCAACUGGCUUGCAUACCACAAACAAAUUAUGAAUGACGGCAUGUCUGUUGACAACCUUGAUAGCAACGUAUCAGAGUCUUGUGCUGUGUGUGCAUUUCCCCCCUCUCAAAUUCCAUAUUAUAAUUGGAUUUUUGUUUUAAAAAUGGACUUGUUUAUGGGUGGACAUCUUUUUCAGUGUUAAUUGAACCGAUUACACUGUUUAUAGGUGGUGGCGAUCAUCCACUAGCAUGAAGAUCCUUCAACCAUCUAACUUGAUGUUAUCCUUGCUCUGAUCAAACUGUCAGAAUUCAUUAAUCAGACUCUUAUAAAUGGUGCCAGCCUCAGCCUCGAUGGAUGCAAAAUCCCCUCCAAACCUUCCCGGUUCCGGCCUCAGCACCAAGAUGAAUACUUUUCGUUGGAAGAGUGUGUGUGUGUGUGUGUGUGUGUGUGUGUGUUGCCUUGCUCUUCCCUCUUCAAGAUGCAUUUGAAUUUCCAAUUUCCAUCAAGUCCGAUAAAGAAAAACGAAAAACAUUUGCAUCAAAGCAAGUUCAGAAUAGGAUGAAGGCAGCAAUUAAAGAUUGGAUAUAUGACGACGAGGAGGAGGAGGAGAAUCAGAAUUAAAUAGCUACAUAAAUUUGCCUCACACACUUACUUUCUCUUCAAUUUACAAUCAAGCUUACUAACAUAUCGGUUCACACCCCCACCUCCCUCUACAUCACCACUUGACUUCAGUAUCUUUCCAGUGUCCAGUGUAUAAUUUCCUACUCAGGAGACGAUGCAUUAGAGAGGUAAGAACAGAGAAUAGAUGCAUUUCGAUGAUUACCAAUCACAAGCCACCACAUAAAGCAGGAGGCUCGUUCCAUCAUUUUACUGAUUGAACAUGGUGGAUGAAUAACAAAUGACCAGACGUCACUUCUCAGACUAAUGAUGGAACAAACCUCGGUGCUAUUUCAAACUGCUGAAGCUACUGCCAAAAAGCUGAAUCCAGAUAUAAUAUAAACGCAACUAAGUGCUAUGAGUUUUUCCCUCUAGGUUUUGGUGACUGCCGAGGCUGGUUGUAUGGAGAUGCACGCACAUCACUUAAGCUCCUCAGUGGUUGUCCGUUCCUUGUAAUAAAUCCUGCAUUUGUUCUAAUGCCAUUUUUAGCAUUCAUGUUUGAUUUGUUACGAUCUGCUUGCAUAGUUUGGAAGUAGUACGAAGAGCUAGCCAUAUCCUUUAAGUUUGGUAAAGGCUUCAGUGCUUCAACAACUUCACUCAUCCGGGGCCUGGAUUUGGGGUCCCGGCUAAGACACUGGGCAGCCAAUUGAAUAGCUUUCUGAGCUCCUUUGAUUGAGAAAUGGCCUUCAAGGCGAGGGUCUAAUAUGCGGUAGAACCUUCUCUUGUCUCCAAAAUGUGGCCUUGCCCAUUCCACAAGGUUGUGCUCCCCAUUUGGUCGGUUUUUGUCCAUUGAUCUUCGGCCAGUGAGCAUUUCAAGUAAAACUACUCCAAAGCUGUAGACAUCGCUCUUUGAAGUCAAAUGUCCUAAACCAAAGUGGAAAGCAUUAGAUUGGCAUAACAUCAGUUUAUCAAAAGCAGCCCUGCCACGAUUUCUACAAACAGCAGUGGCUCAAAGACACGAGUAAAAAGAAUUGCACAGAUUUCUGCUGACCAAGAUAGUUGGAUAUGACAUAAAAGAUAUGGUCCUCCAAAACAUGACAUGUGGGAUAUCAUAACACUAUCUUAGCUAAAAUUAGAACAUGAUGAAUUACUUAAACAGCUUUUCAAACAACGGAAAUAAUUUUAUGAACAUAUAUAAAUCUCUCAUUAUCUUCAUGCCUUUUAAAACGUCCAAGAUUAAAUAAACACACGGGAUAAUGAUGGAUAAUGAUUAAAAACAGGACUCCAGCAAAAUACAGGAAGUUGCCAGUCAUGAAAAUUAGUUCAGAGAUAGCAUCCAUGACACAGAAGAACAGGUUUUGUAUGAAUGUUUCUGGCAUUACAGUCACUAGAUACAAAUGAUCUGGUCCUAUUUGAUACCAGGGUGUCUGAUCUUAUUUUGUCAUGAAAUAAAGCAAUACAAGAGUUCAAACUCAAUUGCAAACUUAAUCCAAACACCAUCUCAAAUUCUACCUUUCUUGACAAGCUUUCAAGUCUAGAUGAUCGAAGAGUAGAAGAUGGCUGUUUUAAUCAUUGGGUUCAAGCCAAAAAGAUAAAAGACUACUACUAGUUUUGCACUUUUCAAUAGUGACGAUGCCAUGGCAGACUAGCAAGAUCGGGUGGUAGCAGACAAGGUGAGGACCACUACAAUCAUGCUCUGAAGUCCACGAAAUUGCAGGGAGUUAUCUUUCAUAGAAAAAUCUCCAUUCUCCCCUCUACCCUCUCAGUGAUAUAAGAUUUGUGGCAUCACACAAUGCCAUGGAACAUGAUUUUCCUUUCACCCAUAUACUAGUGUAUGGUGGUGCUGUGAAAAUUAUAGCAGUAGAAUGAAGCCAAACAGAUAUAAGGUCAUCUCUUACUCCAAUUUCCUGAGGCUGAAAAUGAAUUGCAUUUAAUCCUUCUUAUAUAUAUAUAUAUAGCCAAGCCUGAAAAGUUGUGCCAAUUGUUCUGUUCAUUAGCACCAAUAAGCAUGUCCUAACCAAGUCUCAUUCAUAUAGGCAAACACUAAAUGCUGCAGUUUAAAUCCUUACCUCAGACAAUUUAGAACAUUCAAUUUUUAACAUGAUUGACUGACUGCCUCCUUAUCCAUUGCAAGGAAAUUCAACAACUAACAGGCAAUUCCUAUCGUUCAUUCAAAGGUAUCCAUACAUCUACACAUAACAUAACACGUAGAGGGAAAGGAAUUGAAGUCCACUAACCAGUCAUCACAUAUUCUGGGGCAGCAUAGCCAUAGGUUCCCAUAACUCUGGUAGACACAUGAGUUUUGCCUCCAUCAGGAGCAUCCUUGGCAAGUCCAAAAUCAGAAAGUUUGGAAUUGUAGUCCUAAAACAGUAUUGUCUUGUAUCAGAAUCAGAGAGGGACUGAAAAGAGGAAAUGAUUAGUGAAGUAAUUUCUAAUACAUGCAUAUAUUAAGCCACAUACCGCGUCUAAUAAUAUAUUAGAUGUUUUAAAAUCACGAUAUAUUACUGGUCUGUCAGCCUCCUCAUGAAGGAAAGCAAGACCUUGCGCAGCUCCAAGAGCAAUUUUCAUCCUGAUAGACCACGGAAGAGGCAAGGACCCUUCUGCACAUAACGUGGUUGUUACCAGAGAAAAGUAAGCAUCGAUUGCAGAUGAUAUCUCAAACAAAACAAGCAUAUGUGGGAAGAGAUUGUGUUGAUUUAGGGACCUAUAAAAUCAUUUUCUGAAGGAACGGUAACAUCUGAAACAGGUUUUUGAUUGGAAGAAUUAGGAAGUGGUUAGAUGAGUAAUAACUGCUUCUGGCUGUUUUAUACUUACAAGAACAAAAAGGUUACACACCGUUUAAGUAAAUGGAAAAAACAAUGAAGGCCCCCUAUAAACUCCUCAAACAUUCAAAAUCACCUUCUAAAACCUAUUUCUACAUGAUAUAUCUCUAGAUCCUUCUUCAUAAUGUUGACGCUAGCUAAUAAGUUUCCAACGGCAGACUCCUACAAUUCAAGAUUAAAGUUAAAUCAACUUUUACCAAACAAGGCAUCAAUCUACCUGCAUAGACAGCAAUAAAGAAUGCUACAGAGUUGUUGUUGUUGUUUAGGCAAUGUCACAGAAGACAAUAUUACUAAACUGGGAGGUCAAUAUACAGAAACACUUCUCUCCUAACCCAUGCAAGUGAUGACCCAAUAAUUAUCACCUUCAAGUGGACUGAUGCACAUCUAAAAAAUGCUAAUCUCCAAAGUUCUAAAAAAUAUUAUUGGUAGAAUUUUAAGGCUCUGAGACUUGUGGGGCUAGUAUUAGGAAAGCUCAUCAUGUACAAAUCAAGAACCUUGACACUUUCUACACAGACUUCAAGAGUGUGAUCUGAUUUAUGCACAUCAGAGAUCUUGCUCUUUUCUGUGGUAAAAUAGACAUAUCAUAAGUGAAUUAUCUCUUUAAAAAAAGGCAGAGAUAGAGCAAUGAUUCUUCUUGAACAUGUUUAGUUUCUACUCUGUCAAAUAUCCUGUAAAAUAGUGUAUCUUAUUAUGAAGUGUGUGAACACAAAUAAUUAUUGGUUUUAUGCACAUAGAACAUUAUGGUAAUAUACACUAGUUUUUCACAGUAAAAAUUUGAUAAGUGUAUCAGAGAUAAAUUAGGCAAAUUAUAGGCGAUAGCUUUCAUACUUCUGAAGAGGUGAUUCUCCAAACUUCCUCUAGGCAUGAACUCAUACACCAGCAACCUUUGAUCAUCUUCAAUGCAGUAACCAACCAAUUUUACCAAGUUUUUAUGGAGAAG